GGCCCUUGGCGCCGUAGCAGCACAUCAUGGAUUGCGGGUGUUGUAGAUGCAAGCCAUGCUGUGCGGCCUUGGUGCCAGGGAGCG
ensembl:miRNA pma-mir-15b pma-mir-15b